rnacentral:rRNA from 1 species
CAGUCGCCGCGGGAAUACAGAGGGUGCAAGCGUUAAUCGGAAUUACUGGGCGUAAAGCGCGCGUAGGUGGUUUGUUAAGUUGGAUGUGAAAUCCCCGGGCUCAACCUGGGAACUGCAUCCAAAACUGGCAAGCUAGAGUAUGGUAGAGGGUGGUGGAAUUUCCUGUGUAGAGGUGAAAUGCGUAGAUAUAGGAAGGAACACCAGUGGCGAAGGCGACCACCUGGACUGAUACUGACACUGAGGUGCGAAAGCGUGGGGAGCAAACAGGAUUAGAUACCCCGGUAGUCCCUGUCUCUUAUAC